AUAUAUAUAUAUAAUCACAGACUUUCUUAUGCUAAUUAAAUGGGCGCAUCUCUCUAUCUUUCAGUAUUUUGACCAACAAACAGCGAACAUAAUAAUAAUAAUAAUUAAACAGAAAAAUUAUUCCUGCCCUAGCUAAUUUUAUGUCCACUAACAGUAAACAGUCAUAGAGAAACCCAAAUCUAACAUGAAAAUCACAUAUUUCACUUGGCUUUGUAAUUAAUAUUCAUCAUACCCACAGAGCUCCAACUUCGACGAGCUUUGGGACGAGGUGGCCGCUGAGGUGGAGAGCGACGAGGGACUCGAGGCCGCCAACGCAAGUUCCACCAAUGAAGAGGGCGGGAGCAAGAUUGCGAGGGGCAUCAUCGUUAUCGUGAGAGGGAGGUGGAAGAGGGAGAGCAGAGAUCUCAUGGUCAUCUAACUCGAUGACAGUAGGGUGGACACCGAUGGUGGCGAGCAACUUCUUCAUGACGUGGCACAUGCA
rnacentral:misc_RNA from 1 species